ACAGGCAAUUUGCCCCCGAUCUCUUCCAUCUCUUCUCUUUCAUCAGUUUUAUUUCUUUCGUCAUCCCUGGCAACAUCCAUUCCCCAUGCCAGUUCCCUUCUCCUCCUCCUCCCAAGCCACGUCCAACGCCAUCGCAGGGAACCUCCGCCUCCUCCUCUUACAUGUCUCCGGCACCACGGUGCUCGGCCGCGCAAGUACUUGCGCGCCCACGAAACCCUAGCCCCGACCAGGGCUUGGUCGCCGGCACGGAACCAACACUUUCCCAUGAUGGUGCGCACUCGGGCGCACACAUCGACAUCGGCCUCUGCCGCCAGCGUUUCCGUCGAUUCCAUAGCGAGCAGAAGCCGCACCAUCUGGGAACCAGCACAAUCCCGACAGUGAUGGUGCGCACGCGGGCGCACACGACGAACUCGGCCUCCGCCGGCGCGCCCUCGACUCCGCGGUGUUUUUGGAGGUUGGGGCCUAAGGCGGUGACAGCAACAAGAGCGGCAGCGAUGCCAGAGGACACCAGCUCGCCGGGCUUGGCCUGAGAUUUAUCUCUGGUGAUCCUUGCCUUGAGGUCUGAACGACUUCUCCUAUUUACCAUGUCCGAUUAAUGGCAGUUGUAUGGGAGGCUCACCAUGUCACCAUGUGACGACAGAUCAGACUAAGGUCUACUUUGCUCAAGUUUUGCCUCAAUGAUUUAGAGUCUCACGCUCAUGGUUCAUGGAGAUGGAAACGCCCCUCAAUCCCCCAGCACUACUGGUGACUUCACCGGCACCGCCACCGCCUCCUCGAUGGCCCCCGAAUAUUGGAUUUAGGCAUAACUAUAUGUUUGAGCAUUCUAUUACUCAGUGAUUACGCAUGCCAUUGAUGGGGAAAGUAUGUUCUGUAACUCCUUCAUUUACUGAAAAUACUGGAGGGUUUUCAAAGUGAGUAGGCAUACGAUCAUAUUUAAGUCAGUGCGGUUAUCUUUUUAAAUGUAGAUGGUGCCCAUUUCUCUAAACAUCUGCCUAUAGAUUUCAUUGACUUUAAAAGAGUUAUUCUCUGCAGGUCUAAUUGAGUAUUCCAUAAAAAGAAUUGUAGCCCGUACCAUUCUUUUCAUGGAUGUUCAAGCCAUAUGUCACUAAAAGGGUGCCUAUUGUGACUGAAUCUGGUUUGUUCUUUAAUAUAAUUCCCUGAUGUAUAAAUAGAAAUAUGCGCAUCGUAAUGGCAUGUCAUCAUCUAGAUAGAUUGAUAGGAUGAUCUAUUCUUUAUAACUGGGAAGUGCUAUCAAUACAUUAUUUUGUACUUACUUGCAUUUUUUUAUUUUAGUUGUCACUGAAUCUUUCGUAGGUGUAUCGUGCUUUCCAAGGACAAUUUAAAGUUAAUAUAGUAGUGCCUCUUCGGUUCAAACUGCAGAAGCCCAACAUUACAUUGCUCCAUUAUUUUGUGUCUACACCUUCUCCUCUUUGGUGACAUGAAAAUAUGUACAGUCUAGAUACACUUCAGUUGAUACCUGGGAUAUUGGAGACAUAUUUGUAGGAAUUUUCAGGGUGAUGUCAAUGAUUUCAUUUCUUAAUGCACUUUUAUGCCUUUUAUGAUUCAAUUUCACAUAUAGAGACCUAUUUGUAUUUUUUUAUAUACAAAGUUGUAAGAACUGAUUGCACCUCUCUGUCAACUUUUAUAACCAAAACAUUUUCUACCAUUUUACUUAAAAUGUUGUUAAUAAUUUUAUAUUUAGGAAAUAUAUUGCAUUCAUGGUAUACAUUGGUGUCCAGGAAACACAUUCUAUUUCAUUCAAAUCCUUUAAUAAUCUGACUUCAUUUCAUUCAUGAAUUCAACAUAUCUUCAGGGCAUUACAUAAAACCAUCCAUAAGCAGUUAGAAACCAACAGAUUUGUAUGCCAGCAGCACUAGCUUCUUAAGAGCCCAUCACUAGCAGCUUACUAAUAACAACAUCGCAUUAACGACUAUGAGUCCUUUACACCCAAAAGACCAAAAAAAAAAUUAACAUCUACUAGCAGCACUAGCUUCACCACGUUCCCUCAACCAUUUGUUGCCAAACUUCAUAGCAACAACGACAUCAGUAACAAAUAUAAGCUGCAUAAGAAGCAACGCAAGCGUCUUCUCCUUCAACUUGCUGAGCUCCAUCGGUAGCACCACCCCCUUCGGUUUUGCCUUCGACGACACCUUUGUGCUUGCCAUCCUCAGAGGUGUAGAAGCGUCCUGGCACAAGACAUACAUUCUUUUUGUGAGGCAACAGAACGAGGUAGUACUCUCCUUUGUACUACAGCUGGUUAAUUACAAUGAUGCUAAAUUAGUUAACUUCUAUGUUUGCCAAAAUUUUGGUGAACAAGUUCAACAUCUUAUCCAUAUAUCUCCCCAUAAUGUGUAUCUAUCUCCUCUGCGAUCACCAAUGGCAGCAAUAGCAUCGUGCUCUUAGUUUCCCAGUUGAUGACUUGAGAAUAAUGAAAGUGCAAAAGUUCAGUGUGAAUAAUGACAUAAACAUUAUAAUGUGUAGGCCUUGAAAGGGUGUCAUAAACUUGAGAAUAUAUCAAGAAUUUAUUGAUUUCUUAAACAUGAGAUGAUUAAGAAAAAAACUCAUUUUGUAGUAUAUAUAGUAGAUGAUUUUAAAAUAAAUAAAAAUAGAAAUCACCGGCCAUCGGGAGCUAGGACAGGGGAGAGCGCGGGGCAGCACUAAUGGUGGGCAGGAGGGAAAGUGGCAUCGAUGAGUUUUCUGGUAUGAUUAUUUUGAACAUUUUUCCCGCUGUGUGUUAUAAGCUUAAUGGUCGCAAAAGUUUGCACUUCAACAGUCAGUUUCAUAGCUUGGUGUUAAGAUGAAUGCAUCAAGGAACUUUCAGCACUGGCAUUGACUUUGUAUUAAGAUUAAUUACCUACUAUACAUUACAAUGGUUGCAACUGAUAUCAGCUAAUCAUAUUAUUACUUUUGAACCAUACCUACUGUUAAUUGCAGGAUUUGGAAAAGGAAGGAAAAUAGGGACGCAAAUAAUUCCUUAGCACUUGAAGGUGGUCCGCUCUACAAAUUUUCAUCCAAUAUUCUAAUGAACAUGAGGACUGUGGUUGGAAGUCCUAUUGGGGCUCGAUUAAAUGGAUAUGAGUAGCAAAACAUGAGCUCAAUAACUGUUAAUGUAAUCCUCAAACCAAUCUUUAUAUUUAUAUUCGAAGUGGCUCAACGGUUCUUUCUGUACUAUCUCUGUUGUCGUUUCAUCUUGUUUGAUGUAGUAAUGGUGGAUGUCAAAAUAUAUGUCCUGAACUGAGCAUUAGACUUUGCUUUGUUGUUCAGAUGUGGAAACAAAGGAGCUGGCCUUAAGACCUUAACUUGUUGUUAAGGUGUAACAUUGUUGAUAUUACCAUUAAUGUGUUGGUCAAUACAAAUGCAAUGUCAUGUUUUGUAUCUUC